rnacentral:tRNA from 1 species
GCCGUUGGAUGGCUCAGUUGGUUAGAGCGCAGGUCUCAUCGCUGUGGCUCGUAAUCCUGAGGUCGUAAGUUCGAUCCUCACUCCGAGCA